rnacentral:rRNA from 1 species
AGCGAACGCUGGCGGUAGGCCUAACACAUGCCAGUCGAACGGCAGCACAGUAAGAGCUUGCUCUUACGGGUGGCGAGUGGCGGACGGGUGAGGAAUACACCGGAAUCUACUUUUUCGUGGGGGAUAACGAAGGGAAACUUACGCUAAUACCGCAUACGACCUACGGGUGAAAGCAGGGGAUCUUCGGAUCUUGCGCGAUUGAAUGAGCCGAUGUCGGAUUAGCUAGUUGGCGGGGUACAGGCGCACCAAGGCGACGAUCCGUAGCUGGUCUGAGAGGAGGUAGCGGCACACUGGAACUGAGAGACGGUCCAGACUCCGACGGGAGGCAGAGGUGGGGAAUAGUGGACGAUGGGCGCAAUCCUGAUCCAGCCAUACCGCGUUGGUGCAGAGGGCCUUCGGGUUGUAAAGCCGUUUUGUUGUGAAAGAAAAGUAGCAGUUUAAUACCCCGCUGUUCUGACGGUACCCAAAUAAUAAGCACCGGCUAACUUCGUG